GCUAAUCAAACUGUCACAGGUCUUGCAAUGCAAGUAUGGCUGGUGACCUUGCAGCUGCACUGAAGGGAAAUCGGGAACUUAACAAAACUUGAAUAAUUAGAAAUGGAAAGGGGGAAAGAGAAGGUAGUAAAGGCAUUUGUUGUUUUUUCCUCUUAUCUUUGCUAGGGGCUGUGUUGAGAGAGUCUCCGGAACGCAUUCCUCGGGGCUCUGACUUUUCAGAUCGUGUUACCGAGGAUCUGCUAGGGCUCUAUCUAUGGCAGGUCUUGGAGUCAGCCAAGUACAGGGAAACCUGUCUUUUCCUUUUAACUUCUGCCUGAUUACUACAAGUUGUACAGCACACCAUGCCUGGUUUUCAUCAGCAAUGUUUCCUGAGGUUACAGAAAGAUUUCUAAUCCUGGGAGGAAACACUCCCUUGAAGCAAAAGUGUUCUCCCCCAAAAAAUGCAAGGAGCUAUCUUCUUGAUAGCCAGGCAGAUAAUUCUCAGGUUUUGCCCCACAGAAUCUCGAUCUAAAAUAGAGCAGUGGUCAUGCCUAGUGAAAAGUUUGAGGGAACUCACCCAACGUUGGGUUUCUUCAGAGCCAUAUAUAUAGAUAUAACCAAAUAUCCUAAAAGACACUGCCCUUCAUCAUUCCAUGCUGUUAGACAUUUAUAGGACCAUGGAUGGUGAUCUCCUCCAGACAAAAAUAAAUGCUGGUGCAGAACAGGACGAUUGCCUGCAAGACAGGGCCUGGAGAAGGCCAGGGCACCCAAGGCCACAGAAAUGCCCAGGGAUGAGUCCCGGCUGGAGAUGCCUUGGCUGAACUCACUGUGUACUUCCAGGGUGCACAGGGCAGGUACUCUGGGGGUCUGGCCGGGAGACUGAGCAAGGGGACCAGGGAGGUUAUGCAGAAGACUUCUGCACAGCAAGGCAGACAUUCUUCUUGGAGCCCCCAACCCAAAUCAGGUCUUCCACCUCCUCUUCCUAAAGACCCUUUACUGCAGUCAUUCUUUUAC
rnacentral:lncRNA from 10 species